GACGAACGCUGGCGGCGUGCUUAACACAUGCAAGUCGAACGGUAAGGCCCUUCGGGGUACACGAGUGGCGAACGGGUGAGUAACACGUGGGUGAUCUGCCCUGCACUUUGGGAUAAGCCUGGGAAACUGGGUCUAAUACCGAAUACACCCUGCUGGCUGCAUGGCCGGGUGGGGGAAAGCUUUUGCGGUGUGGGAUGGGCCCGCGGCCUAUCAGCGUGUUGGUGGGGUGAUGGCCUACCAAGGCGACGGCGGGUAGCCGGCCUGAGAGGGUGACCGGCCACACUGGGACUGAGAUACGGCCCAGACUCCUACGGGAGGCAGCAGUGGGGAAUAUUGCACAAUGGGCGCAAGCCUGAUGCAGCGACGCCGCGUGGGGGAUGACGGCCUUCGGGUUGUAAACCUCUUUCAGUAGGGACGAAGCGCAAGUGACGGUACCUACAGAAGAAGGACCGGCCAACUACGUGCCAGCCGCCGCCGUAA
rnacentral:rRNA from 1 species